GACGAACGCUGGCGGCGUGCCUAAUACAUGCAAGUCGAACGCAGUGGGGACGGGUGAGUAACACGUGGGUAACCUCCCAUCAGAGGGGAUAACACUUGGACACAGGUGCUAAACCGAUACUUGUGGAUGGACCCGCGGUUCAUUAGCUAGUUGGUGAGGUAACGGCUCACCAAGGCCACGAUGCAUAGGCGACCGGAGAGGGUGAUCGGCCACACUGGGACUGAGACACGGCCCAGACUCCUACGGGAGGCAGCAGUGGGGAAUCUUCCGCAAUGGACGAAAGUCUGACCGAGCAACGCCGCGUGAGUGAAGAAGGUUUUCGGAUCGUAAAGCUCUGUUGGUAGAGAAGCGGUAUCUACCCAGAAAGCAACGGCUAACUCCGUGCCAGCAGCCGCGGUAAUUC
rnacentral:rRNA from 1 species